rnacentral:rRNA from 1 species
ACGCUCGACACCUACGGGAGCAGCAGUGAGGAAUAUUGGUCAAUGGGCGCAGGCCUGAACCAGCCAAGUAGCGUGAAGGAUGACUGCCCUAUGGGUUGUAAACUUCUUUUAUAUGGGAAUAAAGUUUUCCACGUGUGGAAUUUUGUAUGUACCAUAUGAAUAAGGAUCGGCUAACUCCGUACCAGCAGCCGCGGUAAUCUGAGCGGGCUGGCAAGGC